rnacentral:rRNA from 1 species
UACGGGGGGAGCAAGCGUUGUUCGGAUUUACUGGGCGUAAAGGGCGCGUAGGCGGUCAGCACAAGUCAGUUGUGAAAUCUCCGGGCUUAACUCGGAAAGGUCAACUGAUACUGUGCGACUAGAGUGCAGAAGGGGCAACUGGAAUUCUCGGUGUAGCGGUGAAAUGCGCAGAUAUCAGGAGGAACACCAAUGGCGAAGGCAGCUCGCUGGGACGGUACUGACGCUGAGGCGCGAAAGCGUGGGGAGCAAACAGG